GACGAACGCUGGCGGCGCGCCUAACACAUGCAAGUCGAACGAGCGAGAGAGAGCUUGCUUUCUUGAGCGAGUGGCGAACGGGUGAGUAACGCGUGAGGAACCUGCCUCAAAGAGGGGGACAACAGUUGGAAACGACUGCUAAUACCGCAUAAGCCCACGGUGCCGCAUGGCACAGAGGGAAAAGGAGCAAUCCGCUUUGAGAUGGCCUCGCGUCCGAUUAGCUAGUUGGUGAGGUAACGGCCCACCAAGGCGACGAUCGGUAGCCGGACUGGGAGGUUGAACGGCCACAUUGGGACUGAGACACGGCCCAGACUCCUACGGGAGGCAGCAGUGGGGAAUAUUGCACAAUGGGGGAAACCCUGAUGCAGCGACGCCGCGUGGAGGAAGAAGGUCUUCGGAUUGUAAACUCCUGUUGUUGGGGAAGAUAAUGACGGUACCCAACAAGGAAGUGACGGCUAACUACGUG
rnacentral:rRNA from 1 species